CUGGCCGGGAGGAGGAGGAGGCUGGAGCACCUCUGAGAGGAGGACAGGCUGAGGGAGCUGGGAUUGUUCAGCCUGCAGAAGAGGAGGCUCUGGGGAGACGUUAGAGCAACUUCCAGUACCUGAAGGGGCUACAAGAAAGAUGGAGGAAUUUAGCAGCAUACAUGGAAAUUUGCUUUCAGAAUUGAAGUUCUGCAGGACUUGAUCCUGUGCUCACACUUGUGUAAGCCUAGCGCGAGGCAUGACAGCAUUGUGCACAAGGUGGGGUCUCGGCAUAGUGAAAACUUCAAAGAAUAAAAUGGAUUGGUUUGGCAGACCUGAAAAGCCUAAAUGAAUUCACUGGUUGGAACAUUUGAAGACUGCUGAUAUGGAACAGCACAGCCAGCAUCGUAAAGGGUGUUAUCUGUUCAGCAUGAACAUAAUGAUGCAGACGUCUCCAGCGUCAGGGUGAUACUGGAACUCUGAUGAAGCUGAGGAAACAUUUAGCAAUGUCUGCGCUCGAAGCAGUAUUGAAUAUGUGCUACUAGUCUCCAUGCAAUGAAGCUCAGACUUAGUGGUGUGUAGUCCCCUGUAUCCCUUCUGAAUCCAUUGGAUGCUGAGUAGAUGUAAAGGAUUACAUCAUUAUAAGAUUAUUUCAAAUAAACCUCACAAAAUCUAAAUAAAUGCAGCCAAGUGCCUUAUGGAAGAAAAUAUCCUCAUCGUUCCUGUUUGGCUCCUCUGAAGGAAUGGGCUGCAAGUUUUGUGGGUGGUCUGUGAGAAAUUCAGCGAAGCCCAAGUGGAGCAACUCAACUGCUAUCUUCAAAGAGAAAUGUUCUUCCAACAGAUGUUUUCUGUACUGUUUUUGCUUUAGUGUUUUAUUGAGUAGUCUACUGACCAAGCUGCUACCAUUUAUGAUUCUGCAAGAGUCAACCUAUUUUCCCUCCUCUGCUAAGCCACAAGAAUAAUUUUUUCCAACACAAGUCACUCAUAUCAACUUAUUGUGAAAGUUUUUAGAGACCUAAUAGCUUUGCAACAAUAUUUUAUAUUAUGGCUGAUAAUGAUAUUGAAAUAGUAUUGGAGUCUACAUUUCCUCUGUGCAAUAGAAGAAAACAGAUUGAAGUGUAUUUCCCCUCAGCUUUGCAAUACUACUUUGCAAUACUACUGAAGUUUUGACAAUAAACAAAGAGUGCGACAUUAUUAUUCAACAGGCCAAAAGGCCUUUCGUCAAAACCAGAGUAUUUUUAUUUGCAUGAAUGUAAAGCAAGCCAGCAUUCAUAUAUCCCACUACUAGUUGCCCUAAAUUGCAAAUAUUUCACUUUAAAGUCUUUGAUGCAUUAUAUUGCUCAGACACCAGAAACAGUUAACUAUUUAAUGAAUAUUUUUUUCCAAGGUCAGGAUGCCAGUGCGAUAAAACAUGCUGCAGAAAUUGUCUGAAAAAUAUAUGGGUAAGGAGGACCAAAAAACCAGGACUGCACUGAUGAAAAUGUACAGAGCCAAGAAACUGUAAUACUGCUAAAAGUCAAAUGAAUGGACAAAGAAAUGCUAUUUACAGCAUAGCUGGCCAUCACAAUUACUCCAUUGAUUAAAAAAAAAUCAGCCAAUUUCUUUCAAUAUUAGAUCACAUUUAAAGUUUGCCAUUACUUGAACUGUCUCUCUCUAAAUAUUUAAACUUUCAGAAACAAUUACUAAACAAAGAGUUUAUUGCUGGAUUUUAAUUUUGAAUCAAAGCCCAAUCCUAACAGGACACUGGCUUUGUCAUUCAGACAGUGUUACAAAAAUUUAUGUCAUUUUACUCUUUGGAGAGGUGUGAACGUUGAACCUGGACAAUGAAGGGACGCAUGUUCGGCUCAGUGUCUCAGGUGCUGGGAAAAUCUUCACUGUGUAUGUUCUGGCUUUCCAGAGUGAUGUACAGUGUGUUUUCACUAGUCUUUCCAAGCAAGAGUAUGCUUAUGACAUGCAUCUUGGGAUCAACUACACCUGAUCCAGAGAAAACAAUUAAUUGAGAUUGUAACAGAACUGAACAUGCAUAAAAAAUCAAUUGGUUUUCAGUAUCCCACGAUAUGCCAAGCAGGUUACAAUGGUAAAUGUAAUGAUCAUGGUAAGAGUGUGACGCUGUAGGUAAACAAGACAGUCAUUAUGUGCAUUGUAAUGUUCCAUGUGCAGCUUGACACUGGAAUUACUUAGUAGGAUACUGAAUAUUGUCAGUUAGCCAGUUAUGCUUUUGAAACCCACCUGGCAUCUUUAGCUUAGAGUACUACAAGAUGUGGGCAGAAGGGACCUCAGGUUAACUCUUUGCUGUUGGCUUUAUAUCUGAGCUUAAUCUACCAGAUUGCUGUCCAGAUGAUUGUACAUCUUAGGAUUGAAGGACACUGUCUGCACUGCAAAUCACACCUGAUUUGGAAGAGAGUCCUGCUAACCUUCAUCACGCAACAAGACUUCUAGGCUUCUACCAACUGAGGGUUAUACUACUUGCAGGUUAUCUUAUUUCGAGGACAGUUGUCUUCUAAAUACUGAUUUUGAUAACGGAUCAAUGAUAACAUAUAGGUAAAUAGCUGAUCCUUCAAAAUAGUUGUUACUAACACUUUUCCACUAAAAAAAUAAGGUGUUAUUUACAGAUGACCAGAUGCUCAGGUGGUGGGAACAAGCCUGGUAUUACUGAAAUCAGCACUGCACCAUAACUUCCCUUUCUACAGAAGGAAUAGGUGCUUAACUCUGUUCUAUAUUCCCCAGAACCUACUUAAGUCACAGUUUUCCGCUUGUGAAACCAAGUCUCAUUUCUUCGCCACGAAACUGUUAUAUCAAUAAAGAGACUCACUUAAGUUGAGAAAUAAUAACAUUUACUUAAAUACACCAUCCUCUUUCAAUUCACCUCUGUCUCAGAAGAUACACGUGUAAAACACUUUAAAAAGCGAUUUCGGCUUUCCAGUUCAAUAAGCAGGUUUAAGUACACAUGCCUCCCAAAACCUGACUCUGUUGAAAGCGAUGCAGGACAGACAGCCACAGUGCUCAAAAAUCUGCAUCCCCUCACUUUGCAAAAGCACGCUUAUUUUCUAAACUCUGCAUCUGCAAACCAAACCUAGCAUCCGAAAGCUCUUCCAUCUGCGUGUCUCCACAUGCAAUAAGGAUUCAGCAGGCUAAACUAUGCCAUUAUUAUCUUCAAGUUUUGACUUCGCUGGUACCUGAGUGUUGGUAUAAAUGAGGGAUGUUGUAACUCAUCUGGCAAAACAUUAUCUUUCUGGAGGAUCACGUGAGCUAAAAUAAACUGCAGCUUAUUGUUACACAGCUGCACAAACAGGCUAAGAUUUAAUUGAAACCUGUCACUAUGGUGGACAAUCCUCCUGUCCAUGGAUACUGUCUCAUUUCCGUGAGAAGAUGCCAUUGUUCCACAAAGAACAACACUUUAAUGCAAAAACUGCUGAGUUUCCUAUUGUGAUCCAGAAAUAUAUGCAUGUGAGAUUCCCCUUCAGAGAUUUAGCUAUAAUCUUUAGAUCACUUACCUAAGGUGGUGUAAUAUAAUCUGACACGAUGUUAAAAUAAGACUUUAGAUUUCAAAGUCAGCAUCCCUGACCAUCUAAUUGU